AACCAUAGAAACCUGCGGAGUACCUGCGGAAGGAUCAUUACCGAGUUUACAACUCCCAAACCCCUGUGAACAUACCACUUGUUGCCUCGGCGGAUCAGCCCGCUCCCGGUAAAACGGGACGGCCCGCCAGAGGACCCCUAAACUCUGUUUCUAUAUGUAACUUCUGAGUAAAACCAUAAAUAAAUCAAAACUUUCACAAUGGAUCU
rnacentral:misc_RNA from 1 species